rnacentral:rRNA from 1 species
UCUAACCAAUGCGCGGGUAAACGGCGGGAGUAAGUAUGACUCUCUUAAUUCUCGAGGAGCUAGGAGAAAUGCACAAACGGUCACUUGCAGAGCAGGUUGUCCUGAAGACGAAACAGCUGCUCAUGUAGUUCAGCGUUGUUUCCGCACCCACGGUGGUAGGGUGUUACGACACAACGCUGUCUGCAAUACACUUGCUUCGGCGCUGCGGAACAGGGGAUGGCAGGUCGAGCAAGAGCCGCAUUUGCAAACUGUAGUCGAACUCAGGAAACCUGAUAUCAUAGCACACAGCCCAUCAGGUGCGCUGGUAGUGGACACCCAGAUCGUCGGCGGAACAAGACCUUUGGACCUAGCCCAUAAAGCGAAAGUCCAAUAUUACGCCGACAACCCGAACCUGGCAGAAGUAGUGGCGGCAGGGAGUUUGGUCCCCCCGAUCAUACGCUGAUCUUAUUUCAUUUGGAAUCCCCCCCGGAAUUUUAAAUGGAAUGGUGACGCGUGUGCUUCAGGGUUCACACACGAACUGGACCCGCUUUAACCAGAUGACUUUGGCGCGGCGGAUGGUCUAGUGUUUGCGUUCGAGUGCGAACCAGCAGUCAGGUGAGAGCGACCACCUUUUCGGCCCGACUUCGGUCAUUUCAAAAUUGUGGUUGCUGGAGGUUGACAGGCAGCCUCCAGCUUCCACCAGUCGCAAAUAUAAGAAAAAAAAAAAAAAAAAAAAAAUAGCCAAAUGCCUCGUCAUCUAAUUAGUGACGCGCAUGAAUGG